rnacentral:rRNA from 1 species
UACGUAGGGGGCUAGCGUUGUCCGGAAUCAUUGGGCGUAAAGAGCGUGUAGGCGGCCCGGUAAGUCCGCUGUGAAAUCGCUCGGCUCAACUGGGCGGGGUCAGCGGAUACGGCGUAGCUGGAGCAAGCUAGGGGGCAAUGGAAUUCCCGGUGUAGUGGUGGAAUGCGUAGAUAUCGGGAGGAACACCAGUGGCGAAGGCGGUUGCCUGGAGCUUUGCUGACGCUGAGGCGCGAAAGCGUGGGGAGCGAUCCGG